rnacentral:rRNA from 1 species
CAGCCGCCGCGGGAAUACGUAGGGUGCAAGCGUUAAUCGGAAUUACUGGGCGUAAAGCGUGCGCAGGCGGUUUGUUAAGACAGAUGUGAAAUCCCCGGGCUCAACCUGGGAACUGCAUUUGUGACUGGCAAGCUAGAGUAUGGCAGAGGGGGGUGGAAUUCCGCGUGUAGCAGUGAAAUGCGUAGAUAUGCGGAGGAACACCGAUGGCGAAGGCAGCCCCCUGGGCCAAUACUGACGCUCAUGCACGAAAGCGUGGGGAGCAAACAGGAUUAGAUACCCCUGUAGUCCCUGUCUCUUAUAC